CGAGCCCAGACACUCUGGUGUCCGGGAACGUGAGGGGCCGGAGAAGCGGCAAAUGACCUGAGCGCGGCCAACCCGGGAGGGGCCCUCAGCUUGCGCGCGCCCGGCGUCUGCGGGGCCCAACGCCCGCUCAUCACAGGAGUCCCUUUAACCCAAACUUUCUCCCUCUACUCUGGACCCCAGUACGCACGUAUUGGUUGAGCCACAUACGCCUGGACCCGCCCUCUCCCCCUGCCUAUUGGUCUCCCUCAGCAUCAAUCCCCACAUGAGGCUUCUGGUUGGCCCUUGAUCUUGUCAAUCAGGGUGAAUCAUAGGAGGCGGAGCCAAGAGCGCCGCGCCAGCCUCGCCUACCUCUUCCCACCCGACUAGGGACUCCGACAGGUCCCAGGGCCCAGGCCAGAGCGGCACACAGGGGAGGGGCUGCGCGCGGCUUCGGGGACUCACCGAUACGUUGUCCCACCGGAGAGCUGAACGGGUUUCCUAGGAGAAAGUCCAUUGCCACCGCUGCCGCUGCCACCAGCUCCCAGAAUCAGGCGGUGUCCAAUGAGGCUGAGAGACUCUCCUAACAACUGGAGAUGAGCAGCGACAUCAAUGGGCUCUGUCUCAGGAGCUUUGGCUGGUACCAGCAUGACUGAAAGGAAUGCAAGAGCUGCUGAGUCUGGAAAUGACCCUGAGAUAGUAGCUCCUAAGACACUCAAGAGCUGUCUGGGAAGCAACUUCCCUUUAAAACAUCCAGAACAUGCAGCAUUGCUUGAGGCAGGCCCCAAGUGAGUUGCAUGCAUCAUCUUAUUUAAGUCUCACUAGGUUAAGUACUCUUGUUACCCUUCGCAAGUUACAGAACUUGUCUAACAUUAUAGAGCUUCUGUUGUUAAAUAAAAAUUUUAAGUUA